UGGGUAAUCUUUGAACGUGAAUCGUGCUGGGGAUAGAUGAUUGCAAUUAUUCAUCUUCAACGAGGAAUUCCUAGUAAACGCAAGUCAUCAGCUUGCAUUGAUUACGUCCCUGCCCUUUGUACACACCGCCCGUCGCACCUACCGAUUGAAUGGUCCGGUGAAAUCUUCGGAUCUGAGAGAUGUUGGAUUAAUUUCUGACGCCUUUUGGAAAAGUCGCUUAAACCUUAUCAUUUAGAGGAAGGUGAAGUCGUAACAAGGUUUCCGUAGGUGAACCUGCGGAAGGAUCAUUA
rnacentral:rRNA from 1 species